rnacentral:rRNA from 1 species
CCUACGGGUGGCAGCAGUGAGGAAUAUUGGUCAAUGGCCGGAAGGCUGAACCAGCCAAGCCGCGUGAAGGACGAAGGUGCCAAGCAUUGUAAACUUCUUUUGCCAAGGGACAAAUUCAGGUUCGAGAGCCUGACCGAGGGUACUUGUAGAAAAAGCAUCGGCUAACUCCGUGCCAGCAGCCGCGGUAAUACGGAGGAUGCGAGCGUUAUCCGGAUUUAUUGGGUUUAAGGGGUGCGUAGGCGGACUGUUAAGUCUGCGGGAAAAGCCCGGGGCUCAACCCCGGCGAGCCGUUGAAACUGGGUGUCUUGAGAUGUCGAGAGGUAUGCGGAAUGCGCGGUGUAGCGGUGAAAUGCGUAGAUAUUGCGCAGAACUCCGAUUGCGAAGGCAGCAUACCGGCGGCGAUCUGACGCUGAGGCACGAAAGCGUGGGUAUCGAACAGGAUUAGAUACCCUAGUAGUC